ACAAACAAUGGAGUAGGUAUUUAAAGGGGUGAACAUGCAGAGUGAGGUAGGUUCACAGGCAAGCACAGAGCAACAAGAGGAUACCAUUCAACAAUUAUACAAGUGGAGACUGUCAAUAUGGAAUCAGGACAAACUGGAGCGAGAUUUCCAAAACCUAACUUUGUGAAUCUCUGCUGCAUUUCGAUAAGCAAUGGAUUCAGGAAAGGAAAAGAAGACCACUACUAUAUCCUGUCCAUUCGUACCUUGAUUUAUGGAUUUAUUCUCUUUUUUGCCUGGCCAGGAAUUCUGUUGAGUGUAGCUGCUAUCAUUAAAGCUAAAAAGGCUCAAGAACUGGACAUUGAAGGCAAUAAAACCGAGGCUGAGAAAAAAGCUGCCCAGGCUAGGAAGCUAAACAUUGCAUCCUACAUCAGCUCUGCAGCGUACUUCAUAGUGGUGUCAGCGGUAUUCUCAGUGAUAGUAAUUGUAAUCAGAAGGUGAUCUGCCUGAGGCCGGGCACAUGCAGCUGAUUUAGAACAAACAACACAGACUGAUACUAGAUAGUGCACGUAUUUUAAUGUGUAUGCAUGCUUAUUGUUAUUUCACACAAUAAAUUGGAUUGGUAUUAAUAAUGAGUGAUAAA